GCCGGGUGUGGUGGUGCACACCUGUAAUCCCAGCUACUCAGGAGGCUGAGGCGGGAGGAUUGCUUGAACCCGGGAGGUGGAGGUUGCAGUAAGCUGAGAUCGUGCCACUGCACUCCAGCCUGGGUGAUAGAGCAAGACUCUGUCUCAA
rnacentral:SRP_RNA from 1 species